CUUGGCACCCCACAAUUUCCACUCUACCUCUAAAUCAGUUUAAUCCACGUUAUAUGUCAGAGUACAGAAGUUAGGUGAUAUAUUUAAAAUUAUAGUUUAGCAUUUGAAAACUACCAAAAAACUGAAUCAGGAAGCUCGAGUCUGAUUAAGUGGGAUGAAAUUGUGAUCUGAAAUUUAAGCCAGUCUCUCCAAGAGUUGAACCACCUAAGGCGGAGUUCAAACAAAGGCUGAAGCAGGAAGGUUUGCUGGGGGAAAUCAGUGGGGUCCCCUGAGCAGCGUGAAGUCAUCAGGCCAAUGCCACCUACUGUCCAUUUUCAGUCAUCAGCAGGCUUGUUGGCAAGGUCCAAGAGAAAGAAAGGAGGCGGAGUGGUGGGGGGAGGAGUAACCAAAAAACGAACUCUACCCAGCCUUGGGGCAUUGUGAAAACGACGAGGAAAGGCCAUCUCCAAGCAAGACAUAUUUGUCCUCGUCAACUUUGCAGAAGGCUUGCAAAAAGCAAAAGCCAGUUAAGCCAUUUCCUUCAAGAUGGCUAAAUAUAAGUCCUCCAGAAAACAAUUUUUAUUAUUUUAUUUUUAAUGCGCGCUGUUUGAGUAUGUUUACGUUAGGGGACCAGAUUGAGCAAAAAUAUACAUAUAAUUACUUUUCUAUGUUUUCC
rnacentral:lncRNA from 1 species